GCCAAUGUGUCAUGGUGGUUGGAGCAUUGGACUAUGACUCUGGAGACCAGGGUUCAAAUCCCCACAUGGCCA